ensembl:lncRNA
CUCCAGUACUCUUGCCUGGAAAAUCCCAUGGACGGAGGAGCCUGGCAGGCUGAAGUCCAUGGGAUCGCCAAGAGUCGGACGCGACUGAGCGACUUCACUUUCACUUUUCACUUUCAUACAUUGGAGCAGGAAAUGGCAACCCACUCCAGCGUUCUUGCCUGGAGAAUCCCAGGGACGGGAGAGCCUGUGUGGGCUGCCGUCUAUGGGGUCGCACAGAGUCAGACACGACUGAAGUGACUUAGCAGCAGCAGCAGCAGCUAGCCCCACUGAUGGAAGCAUUUUGCUCUGGUACCGCCCCAGCGGCCUGGCAGAGUCAUCCCAGGAUGGACGCCAGCGGUGCCUCAGGAUUUCCUGAGGGCAGAGUCCUGCUUGUCCGACUGUCUCAGCAGGUUCUAGCAACAGGCUUAAUUGUGAAGAUCACCACUCCAGGACUUGCAAGGGCACAGAAGUAGGUACCUUCCUGAACAGCUGUUGAGCCUGGUUCAAACACUUCAUUCCAGUGUCUCUGCUAACCGAACGUGGAAAACAGUCUAGUCAGCCUGAGUGCUGAGGCAUAUAUGUGGAAGACGUGCGCCAUCCUUGAGGAGCUCCCUGUGGGGAAAGUGACCAUUAAUAAAACAUUAAAGAGGUCUAGGGGUAGGGUAAAGGGCAGGAGGGAGUGGUAAGAGAGGACCCAGCAGCAAAGGAGAAAGACGCAGAGAAAGAAUGAGUGGCUCUCGGUGGGAAUACGGGAAGUGACCUGGAUUCGGCUCCGGGAGACUGCCCAACGUGGCAAGAGGAGGGAAGGAGCAGCCCAGCAGGGAGAUGGGGCUGUUAAACGACCCCCAACAGUCAGCACCCAGGAUGAAGGCGUGGUCUCUGCCUGGGUUGUUGCUGUUCUUGUGUCAGAGGACAAAGAGAAGACAGUGGAAGCACUCAGACUCUUGGAGUGUCUGCUCAGAAAUGUCACACUUCAUCUUAAUCCACAUUUUUUAUUGACAAAGCUAGUCACAUGACCCAGCCUGACAUUCCUGGGGUAAGAAAAUAUAAUCCUCCUACAGUGAGGGGCAGUGAAUAAUUGUGAGCAGCAAUACAAAUACCUUAGGGUUGUAACCAGAAAUAUGACAUUUGUCUGUGGCCAUGGGAGGAAGGGAAGGCGUCUAUACAUAAGAGACCUCACUGAAGUGGUGAAGGGUCUGGAUCACACUGUCUGAAUGGGACAAGAGCCCUGGGCCUCGGUGUGAGGUCUAAGCCCACACCCAGCCACCACAGACCUCCGCUGUUCUGCUCUUGUAUGUACACGUGUGAUUGGGCAAAGCUAAGCUAUAUCCAGAACUCCAGCUGUAACAGUCUGGGAAAGGUGACUGAUUGAUUGAUUUUGCCUUUCAGUCCCAGUAAUUGAGAGGGAAACAGAGAAUUAGGUGGGAAUGAAUGUCAAGUGGCAAUUGACUAUAUCACGCACAAUUACCUGAGAAUCCACCUAAUAAAUGUAUAAGACCUUUCUGAAGAAAACUUUAAAAUAUUGCUGAAGGAGACUAUGGGAGACCUGAAUGAAUGAAACCAUUCCAUGUUCUUGGAUCAGAAGGCAUAAUAUCACACUUAAUUAUAAAAGUGAUGCAGGAACAAUAAAAAAUGACAGCUCUUCUUCAAAAGUGGAACUGCUGACGCUGUGAUUCAUAUGAAAUAGGAACAGUGAGGAAAACUGAAAGUCGAUCAGUGAAUGGGAAACAGCCCUUCCAGACCUUAAAGCACACAAACUCUCAAAAACGAAGUGUAUUGACGAGUGAAGACAAAGCAAUGAAACUGAAUAAAAAAUUGUAAAGGAUUACAGUACAUAAGAAAAUGUUUAUAUAUGUUAAAAGGACUAUCCCAAAUCAAUGGGAAAAAAAUUACCAUAUGGGAAAAAAAAGUUGAAUCCCUACCACAAAGCAUGUACCACAAAAGCUCC